rnacentral:rRNA from 1 species
UGGGGAAUCUUGCGCAAUGGACGAAAGUCUGACGCAGCCACGCCGCGUGAGUGAAGAAGGCCUUCGGGUUGUAAAGCUCUGUCGGAGGGGACAAAAACCAUGUGAGUUAAUAGCUCAUGUGCUUGAUGGUACCCUUAAAGGAAGCACCGGCUAACUUCGUGCCAGCAGCCGCGGUAAUACGAAGGGUGCAAGCGUUGCUCGGAAUUAUUGGGCGUAAAGGGUUGGUAGGUGGUUACGUAUGUCUGGGGUGAAAUCCCUGAGCUCAACUCAGGAAGUGCCUUGGAAACGGCGUAACUAGAGUGCUAGAGAGGUUCGUGGAAUUCCCAGUGUAGCGGUGAGAUGCGUAGAGAUUGGGAGGAACACCAGAGGCGAAGGCGGCGAACUGGAUAGCAACUGACACUGAACAACGAAAGCGUGGGUAGCAAACAGGAUUAGAUACCCCCGUAGUCCCUGAGCGGGCUGGCAAGGCGCAU